UGAGGAAUAUUGGUCAAUGGGCGCAAGCCUGAACCAGCCAAGUCGCGUGAGGGAAGACGGUCCUAUGGAUUGUAAACCUCUUUUGUCGGGGAGCAAAGCGCGGUACGAGUACCGUGAAGGAGAGUACCCGAAGAAAAAGCAUCGGCUAACUCCGUGCCAGCAGCCGCGGUAAUACGGAGGAUGCGAGCGUUAUCCGGAUUUAUUGGGUUUAAAGGGUGCGUAGGCGGAUUUGUAAGUCAGCGGUAAAAAUGCGGUGCUCAACGCCGUAUCGCCGUUGAAACUGCAGGUCUUGAGUGAGCGAGAAGUAUGCGGAAUGCGUGGUGUAGCGGUGAAAUGCAUAGAUAUCACGCAGAACUCCGAUUGCGAAGGCAGCAUACCGGCGCUCAACUGACGCUGAGGCACGAAAGCGUGGGGAUCGAACAGG
rnacentral:rRNA from 1 species